GGUCAAGCUACAAAGGGCUUACGGUGAAUACCUUGGCACACAGAGGCGACGAAGGACGUAGCAAUCGACGAAACGCUUCGGGGAGCUGACAGCAAGCUUUGAUCCGAAGAUCUCCGAAUGGGGCAACCCCCUGGACUGCCACCUGAAUCUAUAGGGUGGUCAGAGCAAACCUGGUGAACUGAAACAUCUUAGUAACCAGAGGAAGAGAAAGAAAUUCGAUUCCCUUAGUAGCGGCGAGCGAAGCGGGAACAGCCUAAACCAACGGAUUUAUCUGUUGGGGUUGUGGGACAGCAACACGGAAUUGAGCGGCUAGACGAAGUAGUGAGAAGCUACACCAGAGACGGUGAAAGUCCGGUAGUCGAAAGUUUAACAAUACAAGCUGAAUCCCAAGUAGCACGGCAGAAACGCCGUGUGAAUCCACGAGAACCAUCUCGUAAGGCUAAAUACUCCUGUGUGACCGAUAGUGAACUAGUACCGCGAGGGAACGGUGAAAAGAACCCCGGAAGGGGAGUGAAAUAGAACAUGAAACCGUAAGCCUACAAGCAGUGGGAGGGCGAUUUAACGCCUGACCGCGUGCCUGUUGAAGAAUGAGCCGGCGACUUGCAGGCAGUGGCAGACUAAGGCGAAAAUGCCGAAAUCAAAGCGAAAGCGAGUCUGAAUAGGGCGAAAUUAAGUCACUGUUUGCAGACCCGAACCCGGGUGAUCUAACCAUGUCCAGGAUGAAGCUUGGGUAACACCAAGUGGAGGUCCGAACCGACUGAUGUUGAAAAAUCAGCGGAUGAGGUGUGGUUAGGGGUGAAAUGCCAAUCGAACCCGGAGUUAGCUGGUUCUCCCCGAAAUGUAUUGAGGUACAGCGGUUGUGAUUAUAGGUUGGGGGUAAAGCACUGAUUCGGUGCGGGCUGGGAGACCGGUACCAAAUCGAGUCAAACUCAGAAUACCAACUGCACACACAGCCAGUGAGACAGUGAGGGAUAAGCUUCAUUGUCGAAAGGGAAACAGCCCAGACCAUCCGCUAAGGUCCCCAAAUUGUCACUCAGUGAUAAAGGAGGUGGAAUUGCAAAGACAACCAGGAGGUUUGCCUAGAAGCAGCCAUCCUUGAAAGAGUGCGUAAUAGCUCACUGGUCAAGCGAUUCUGCGCCGAAAAUGAACGGGGCUAAGUGACAUACCGAAGCGAUGGAAAUGGUUAAAUUACUACCAUUUGGUAGGGGAGCGUUCUGUUGUAGUGUGAAGCAUCAGCGUGAGCAGAUGUGGACGAAGCAGAAGUGAGAAUGUCGGCUUGAGUAGCGCAAACAUUGGUGAGAAUCCAAUGCCCUGAAAUCCCAAGGGUUCCUCCGGAAGGCUCGUCCGCGGAGGGUGAGUCGGGACCUAAGGCGAGGUCGAAAGACGUAGUCGAUGGACGAUCGGUUAAAAUUCCGAUACCGAUUUGAAGUAGUGCAGAGGGACGGAGAAGGCUAGCACAGCCGCACGUUGGUUAGCGGUUCAAGUGUCCGAGGCGUUGAGGAGUGGCGAAACCAUUCCGAGCUGAGGCAUGAGUACGAGCGUCUACGGACGCGAAGUGUGUGACGUCAGGCUUCCCAGAAAAGCUCUAAACACGUUAACUUCAAAUUGCCCGUACCCGAAACCGACACAGGUGGGAUGGUUGAGAAAACUAAAGGGCGCGAGAUAACUCUCUCUAAGGAACUCGGCAAAAUUGCCCCGUAACUUCGGAAGAAGGGGUGCCCCUUGCAAAGGGGGUCGCAGUGAAGAGAUCCAGGCGACUGUUUACCAAAAACACAGGUCUCCGCUAAGUUGCAAAACGAUGUAUGGGGGCUGACGCCUGCCCAGUGCCGGAAGGUUAAAGAAGUUGGUCAGGGGAGCAAUCCCUAAAGCUAGCGACUGAAGCCCCGGUGAACGGCGGCCGUAACUAUAACGGUCCUAAGGUAGCGAAAUUCCUUGUCGGGUAAGUUCCGACCCGCACGAAAGGCGUAACGAUUUGGGCGCUGUCUCGGAGAGAGGCUCGGCGAAAUAGGAUUGUCUGUGAAGAUACGGACUACCUGCACCUGGACAGAAAGACCCUAUGAAGCUUUACUGUAGCCUGGAAUUGGGUUCGGGCUUUAACUGCGCAGGAUAGGUGGGAGGCUAUGAUGCAAUCCUUGUGGGGAUUGUGGAGCCAACGGUGAGAUACCACUCUGUUAAGGCUAGAAUUCUAACUUGUUGCCGUUAUCCGGCACGAGAACAGUUUCAGGUGGGCAGUUUGACUGGGGCGGUCGCCUCCUAAAGUGUAACGGAGGCGCGCAAAGGUUCUCUCAGGCUGGUUGGAAAUCAGCCGUAGAGUGUAAAAGCACAAGAGAGCUUGACUGUGAGACGUACAUGUCGAGCAGGGACGAAAGUCGGCUUUAGUGAUCCGACGGCAGAGCGUGGAAUCGCCGUCGCUAAACGGAUAAAAGUUACUCUAGGGAUAACAGGCUGAUCUCCCCCAAGAGUUCACAUCGACGGGGAGGUUUGGCACCUCGAUGUCGGCUCAUCGCAACCUGGGGCGGUAGUACGUCCCAAGGGUUGGGCUGUUCGCCCAUUAAAGCGGUACGUGAGCUGGGUUCAGAACGUCGUGAGACAGUUCGGUCCAUAUCCGGUGCAGGCGCAAGAGUAUUGAGAGGAGUCUUCCUUAGUACGAGAGGACCGGGAAGAACGCACCGCUGGUGUACCAGUUAUCGUGCCAACGGUAAACGCUGGGUAGCCAAGUGCGGAGUGGAUAACCGCUGAAAGCAUCUAAGUGGGAAGCCCACCUCAAGAUGAGUACUCUCAUGGAGUUAAUCCAGUAAGGUCACCCAGAGAACAUGGGUUGAUAGGCGGUAGGUGGAAGUGCAGUAAUGUAUGCAGCCGAGCCGUACUAAUAGACCGAGGGCUUGACCGC
rnacentral:rRNA from 1 species